AUGGGGAAAGCGGCGAUUUUGACUCGGCUGGAACGGGGGUUCUUACGGUCGGUUGUGUGUUCCGCGGAAUCGCAGGUUGCUCCGGACGGGAUUAAGCACAAGGGGCACAUUGCGGACCUGGAGCCGGAGGGUGAGCUGCUCAAGAGCGACCAGGACCACCGCGUCCGCCUACCUCAGCGACCUCCUGUCCUUGAAGCUCAAGAAUGUGAGGUAGGCCAUGAGCACUCUGUGAUUAAAGGUUCUGUGAGGCCGGAAGCUAUGGAGGAGACCACUCUUGUCAGCGAAGCUGCUACUGAGCCGGUAGUCAUGGAAGGAGCCCAUGUUGUUGAUGAAGCUACUGCUGAGCAGGAGGUUGGAGUGGCGACUCCUCUUGUGAAUGGCUCUGUCACCGACCCGGAGGUUACUGGGGGAGCUUCUCUUGUGAGUGGAUCGAUCACUGAGACAGAAGUUAUGAGUGGAGUUUCUCUCGCUAAUGAAGCUGUUGGGGGGCGAGAAGUUUCAAUGGGAAUUUCUCUUGUGAGUGGAUCGAUCGCCGAGCCAGAAGUUAUAAGUGGAGCUUCUCUCGCCGAUGAAGCUGUUGCCGAGACAGAAGUUUCAGGGGGACUUUGUCUUGUGAGUGAAGCUGCAACUGAGGCAGCAGAUGUAGCCAUCGCGUCGGAAGUUACAACUGGAGCUCCCCUUGACAACAAAGGUGUCGCAGAGCAAGAUAUUAAAAUGGGCGCUUCUCCUGUCGAUGAAUCUGCUUCUGAGGCUGCAACUGAGGCAGCAGAUUUAGUUACCACACCAGGAGCUCCCCUCGACAACCAAGGUGUUGCAGAGCCAGAUAUUAAAAUGGGAGCUUCUCCUGUCAAUGAAUGUGCUGCUAAAACUGCAACUGAGGCUGCAGGUGUAGUCGCCGCUCUGAGAGUUACAACUGUAGCUUCCUUCGACAACAAAGGUGUUGCAGAGCCAGAUAUUAAAAUGGAAGCUUCUCCUGCCAAUGAAUCUGCUGCUGAAAUGGAUUUUGUACACUCAGGUUCCCUUGUUACUGAAGCUGCAACUCAUCCAGGACUACCUGAAAGAGUUUCUCUUGCUAAUGGAGCUGCUACUGAGCGAGAGGCUUCAGAGGCAGGUUCACUUGUGAGUGAACCUGCAGCUGAGGCAGCAGAUGUAGUCACCGCGUUGGAAGUUACAACUGGAGCUCCCAUUGACAAUGAAGGCACUGCAGAACCGGAAAUUAAAAUUGGACCUUCUUUUGCGAAUGAAUCUACUGCUGAAAUGGAUUCAGUACUGUUAGGUUCACUUGUUACUGAAGCUACAACUCAUCCUGGACUUAUAGGAAGAGUUUCUCUUGUCACUGAGACAGGAGUUACAGGAGGUGCUAACCUCGACACUGAAGUUUCCAUAGAACCAGAAGAUACAGGUCGACCUUCUCUUAUAAAUGAAUCUACCGAAUUGGAAAUUACACGGGGGGUUUCUAUUGCUACCGAUGCUGCUUCAGAACCAGAAGUUACUGGCCAAGCUUCCGCUUGUAGUGGAGAUAGUGAUGCUGCUUUAAAGGAGGCAGAAACUCUUGACUGCGAUUUGGAUAGUGCCAAUGUGCAGAUUGAAAAGGCAGGAGAGUCUGUUGCCACCGAAGUGCAACCUUCUAGAGACGACAGGGGAGAUGUUGGUUCUGUGAAUGCCAUGAGCACUUCUCCUGUUACAGACAAGAGUCUAGCUUUUGAUGAAGUAAUACCACAGGAUGACGCACCCAGUGUUUCAUGUGCAUCAGGCGUAGUUGUUAGAAGUGUUGGUAAAUCAGGGAGAACUGAUGUCAUAUGUUAUGCUAGGCGCAGAGGUAAAAGAAAGCUGGAUAUGGAAGAAACAAAGACAGACCAACUUGAAAUGGGUGAUGGUGACAUCUAUGGUCAGUGUGAGGAAAAGGCGACAUUUGACAUAACUGUUCCUUGUGAGAGUGCGAUGUCAACCGCUGAAUCUGCAGACAUUAAACUCGCCGACAUAAAGAGAGGUCUUGUGGACAAUUCAGCCUCAAGCAAGGGUAAAAAGAGGAAGGGACGAUUUGAAUGUGACAUUGACUACUGCCACAUGACAUUCAAGAAAAGAGCCGAACUUUCUAUCCACAAGAAGAACAUGUGCACGAUCAAGUCAUGCGGCAAACAUUUUAGAUCCCACAAGUAUCUGAGACGCCACCAGAGCAUUCACAACGAGGAGGCACCUUACAAGUGUCCGUGGGAAGGUUGCAGUAUGUCUUUCAAGUGGACAUGGGCUCUGGCUGAUCAUUUCCAAGUUCAUACAGGGGAAAAGCCCUAUAAAUGCAGGACACCUGGGUGUAGCAAGAUAUAUAAGUAUGUUUCAGACUUUACCCGGCAUAGGAUGAGGUGCAAACCGCAGAGGUAA
rnacentral:rRNA from 1 species